AAAAGCUACAAAGCAAAUUGGGGCUGAAGCACAUUUGUCUUCCAUCACAGCCUGAUCAGUCAACUCUGAUACUUCGGGUGUUGGGAUAUUAGUCUCUAGCAUGACUAGAGCAAAUGACUCGAUAGCUGAAGCUGUUCGAGCCCCUUCAUAGGGCAUUGGGCUGUCUUUGUCGGCACCGAACACCAAAAUUGUAGGGAAUCCUUG
rnacentral:misc_RNA from 1 species